rfam:Ixodes scapularis strain Wikel colony gcontig_1108379685536, whole genome shotgun sequence.
CCGUCGAUAGCUCAGUUGGUAGAGCGGUGGACUGUAGAAGGUGAGAACUGCGGAAAUCCAUAGGUCGCUGGUUCGAAUCCGGCUCGACGGA